GAUGAACGCUGGCGGCGUGCCUAAUACAUGCAAGUCGAACGGAGAACUUUUGAAGCAAUACGAAGGUUUCUUAGUGGCGAACGGGUGAGUAACGCGUUGGUGACCUGCCCCAAAGUGUGGGAUAACAGUCCGAAAGGAUUGCUAAUACCGCAUGUGGCCAUCGGGUUUAGAAACCGAUGUCUAAAGCCGCAAGGUGCUUUGGGAGGGACCUGCGUCCCAUCAGCUAGUUGGCGAGGUAACGGCUCACCAAGGCUACGACGGGUAGGGGGCCUGAGAGGGUGGCCCCCCACAAUGGAACUGAAACACGGUCCAUACACCUACGGGUGGCAGCAGUAGGGAAUAUUGCACAAUGGGCGAAAGCCUGAUGCAGCAACGCCGCGUGAGCGAUGAAGGCCUUCGGGUCGUAAAGCUCUUUUCUGGGAGAUGAGAAAGGACAGUACCCCAGGAAUAAGUCUCGGCUAACUACGUGCCAGCCGCCGCGGUAAGAC
rnacentral:rRNA from 1 species